GACGGAGGAUGCAAGCGUUAUCCGGAAUGAUUGGGCGUAAAGCGUCCGCAGGUGGCAGUUCAAGUCUGCUGUCAAAGACCGGGGCUUAACUUCGGAAAGGCAGUGGAAACUGAACAGCUAGAGUAUGGUAGGGGUAGAGGGAAUUCCUGGUGUAGCGGUGAAAUGCGUAGAGAUCAGGAAGAACAUCGGUGGCGAAGGCGCUCUGCUGGACCAUAACUGACACUCAGGGACGAAAGCUAGGGGAGCGAAUGGG
rnacentral:rRNA from 1 species